rnacentral:piRNA from 1 species
UAAGAAACGUGACUUUAGUUUUUAAGGUGAGU